UCCAGGCCAGACCCAAGUACACAGAUGCUGCUGGACUGGGAAUCGGUUGCUCCGAACUCCAAGGACAAUUGUCUUUCCUUUUACAGGAGGCUUCUACAUGCUCCUGGACCCCAAGAAUGCAAAGCCUGGGCAGAAGUCGGUCCUCCUGAGUCCACCGAGCCGCGUGGCUGUCUGUCUGAUGCUGUCCUUCCAUUACAUCCUGUGGAGCUGGGCUCUGGGCACAGCCCUCCUGGUCUACGCCUCAGUUUCCAGUUAGAGGGGAGAAGUCUCUGGGUUUGCGCUGAGCUGCCCGCAUCUCCAGGGGUUGGGGUGAUGGAGACUAGGGGUGAGCCUCAGGAUGGAGCAGAAUGUGGGAUGUGUGGGAGUGGAAAUGAGGUAGGCACUGGACUAUAGGAAAAUAAAGGAACCAUGGGAGUGAGAGAGGAGGAUUACUUCCAUUAGGGAAUAUUGCCCAAGUAUUCCCUCUGUGACUCAUCCCCUGGGGUGCAGAUUCAAAGUAAUUUCUCACUCCCUUCAAACUUACUUGUCUGUCCUUGUUUUUUUUGGUACCGGGGAUUGAACUCAGGACCUUGCACUUUUGAGCCUUUUGUUUUUUUGGAUGCUGGGAUUUCAACCUAAGGCCUUCACCCUGGGCUACAUCCCUGGUCCUUUUGUUUAUUUUAUUUUAUUUAUUUUGGUACUGGGGAUCGAACUCGGGUCCUUGCCCUUGCGAGGCAGGUGGCAGAACCACUGAGCUAAAUCCCUGGCACCCUUUUGUUUAUUUUUAAUUUUGGAGACAGAGUUUCAUUAAGUUGCAAAAUUGCCCAGGCUGGGCUCAAACUUACUAUCCUCCUGCCUCAGCCUCCCAGGGGGCUGGGAUUAGAGGCAUGCACCACUAUACUGGGCCGUAUCUCUCAUUUUUUUCCCACCGUAGGCAGCAUUCGGAAACACACACUCUUCUCGGGACAACCCGGGCCUAACUGGCAGCGUGUUUCUGACAAUUACACUGGACAAGGACAGAUAGAGGUACAGAGAAGCAAAGGGUCGGUCUUGCACGUGGCAGGUUCCCCGGAUGUUGAAGUGAAUUGAAGGUCCCAGAU
rnacentral:lncRNA from 1 species